rnacentral:rRNA from 1 species
GACGAACGCUGGCGGCGUGCUUAACACAUGCAAGUCGAGCGAUGAAGCCGGAGCUUGCUCUGGUGAAUUAGUGGCGAACGGGUGAGUAACACGUGAGUAACCUGCCCUUGACUCUGGGAUAACUGCGGGAAACUGUAGCUAAUACCGGAUACGACCCUCGGAGGCAUCUCCUGGGGGUGGAAAGAAUUUCGGUCAAGGAUGGACUCGCGGCCUAUCAGCUAGUUGGUGAGGUAAAGGCUCACCAAGGCGACGACGGGUAGCCGGCCGGAGAGGGGGACCGGCCACACUGGGACUGAGACACGGCCCAGACUCCUACGGGAGGCAGCAGUGGGGAAUAUUGCACAAUGGGCGCAAGCCUGAUGCAGCAACGCCGCGUGAGGGAUGACGGCCUUCGGGUUGUAAACCUCUUUUAGCAGGGAAGAAGCGAAAGUGACGGUACCUGCAGAAAAAGCACCGGCUAACUACGUGCCAGCCGCCGCCGUAA